UACGUAGGGGGCAAGCGUUGUCCGGAAUUAUUGGGCGUAAAGAGCGCGUAGGCGGUCCGAUAAGUCGGCUGUGAAAGUCAGGGGCUCAACCCUUGAAAGCCGGCCGAUACUGUCGGACUAGAGUCCGGAAGAGGCAAGUGGAAUUCCCAGUGUAGCGGUGAAAUGCGUAGAUAUUGGGAGGAACACCAGUGGCGAAGGCGGCUCACUGGACCGGUACUGACGCUGAUGCGCGAAAGCGUGGGGAGCAAACAGG
rnacentral:rRNA from 1 species